CUCCGUUCGUUCGUUCCUACCCCCUUCCCUCUCUCACUCCCCCCCCAGCUUUUUUUGGGAGGCUCAGCGCUCCCAUUCGCUGCUGCCUGCCAUUUGACCGUAGAUAUGACUAUAUAUGGGAUACGACGGGCGAGGCAGGUCUCCCCGUCUCAUCAGCAGAGCCAGCAAGACACAACACGCUCAGUCCCCAGGACGCACGCUCCCUCGUGCAGCGCCGAGCACACAGACCAGCAUGAGCCCCACAGGAUUUGGGUUGCACAAAGAGAAAAUUAAGCAGCCUCUUUGCGCUCAGCACUCGCAGCAAAAAAUUCCUCCCUGGUGGUGUCACUGGAUCCGCUGAACUGAUGUUACUUUGUAGCAGGAGGGAAUGACCCACAGCUUCUGGCCUCCUGUACUUGCCAGGGCAGGUCUUGGGAGUCCAGCUCCGCAAGAGCUUCCACAAACUGCACCAUGAAGCUUCAGGUCUACGAGACAGCACAGUCCUCUGAUCAGUGUUCAGACCAGCAGUUGUCUUCCCCUGCUCCUGAGAAAGUCCAUACGCUUGAGCUCAGCUCUGAACUGUGUCGAGAGGCUUGCAACUGGGCACAGGGAUUCUCAUGUGUUGCUGCUAGAGAGCGUGGAAGACUAUUGGCAAAAUGGAAGCUUGGCUUAUGCCUGCUUUAAGAAAAGAUGACUUCUCACUGCAUUGAUUUAAUAACCAAACUCCUAUGACAAUAAUAGUAACAUAAUAGUAAAAUCAUGAAGUGAAAUUCUCUUUCACAUGCAGACAAUACUGUCCAUUCAUCCCUAUCUAUCAGUUCCAAAAGAAUACUAUUUAAACCCAUUAAAAUACAAAAAGCAUUGCACUGUCACAGAAUGUUUAAAAGGGCCAGGCAACAUAGUAUUUAAAAACUCUACAGAUUUAAUCACAGACAAGUGUAAAGUGUAUUUUUUCUGUUUAUGCUUAUCUUACUUUUACAAUAUAGCCAAUUAGAAUAGAUUAAGGGCUUUUCUGAGGCAAACACAGUGAAUAUUUAAGACAUAGUUACAUACCAUUCAACAACCCAACUGCAUUAUGAAAUGCAUGUUUUGUUCCUAGUUUAGGAGAACUUACUCCUCUGCCACAAAAGUUUUCUUAAAAAGUGAAGAGUAUGAUGGCUGGGAGUCCACUGAGGUAGCUCUUCUGGCUCUGGGGAAAGAAAAUGUCUGGCGAAAUUACACAAACAGUAUCCAUUCUGGCUAAUUUGGGAGUGGUGCUGAUAAGCUCUUAAAGCAUUCCUGUGCAGCUCCAUUUUUCUAAAAGAAUGUUAAUCAUGACAUGGGAGCCCCUGGGAUACAUGAGAAAGUAUGAGAUGCAGGGAGAAGGAAAGGAACCCAAAGGUUUUUUUUUAAAUAUCUGGAGGAUGCGAUCAGCUCCACAGAAAAACAAAAUAUUGAGGUUCCACUUACAUGAAAAUGUCCAAUUAAUAAGCUUUGCUUAUAUAAAGAUGACUCUGUAUCCAUGGGGCUGAACUGACUGAUAGUGUUUAGUAUUUUUUUUACCUCAUAGAGAGAAUAUGAAAAGUACAGACAUGUGUGAACAUGCUUGCUAUACCUUUCAUUAACAAUUUCAAUUGCCUGGAAAUUUAUGUUCCAGCUGGCUAAGAAAGACAGGCUUGGAAAUCAAACAGCUUGUAUAGUCUCUCCCUCUUUAAUUGAUACGUGAAGAAAGACAGUAUACAAAUUAUUUUUGCAUACUGAAAAAAGAAGGCAGCAUAAACUUUGCUUUUCUGACGUAAUGCCAAUUCUGUAAUGUCACUUGGUUUGGUUUCCACCACAGCAGCUACCUCUCACAUUGCCAAAUGGUGUAGGAGCUCCCUAGCAGCAGUUUUAUUUGCUUCUGAGGAGUACCUACUGUUCUGUUAAUCUAAUCAGACUCUUUAGAAAAUCAACACAGCCAACACAGAGGACCAGAAAAUUACACACUGUUUUUGAAAUUCACUACUCCUCCUAUGACUAGGUGAUGUUACAGUUCAGGCUUACUGACAAUAUGGCAUUUUUUCCCAGAGCAAGGCUGGAAGUUGUUCAUAUCAUGAUGUUUCUAUCAUGUUAUAUAUCCCUUGACAUAGGCAGAAAUUUGCCUUGAGAAGGAUCUGCUUUUUUGUGCAUGGAUUUGGCUGGUCAAAGGGAGUUCACACUGUUGAUUCUGGUAACAGACAAAAGGGCUGGCGGAUAUAAUUCAUUUGGAAAAACUUCAAACAUAACCUUGGAAUUGCUCUUUCUUUUCUCUCUUUUUUUUUUUUUUUGAGGAAUAUGCAGGAAAUGACACCUAACUUCAUACUACAACUGGUUCUGCCAGUUCUAUGGAAAACACGUCUCUUAAAAGAUGAUUAAGGAUUCAAAUUAGGUCAGUCAGAGUGAACUCAUAGGCCUGUAUGUGUCAUUUGAAAAGUGGAGUGUUCCCUCAUAGGGAGGCAAAUAUAAAUAAAAUACAAACUAAGUUCUCAAAGGUCUCUGAGACCUCUGCAACCCUUGUAAAACAGAAGGUUCAUUUUAGACAAAGGGAACAGCAACAUUAGUGUGGCAUAUAAUAAUAAAUAGGAAAUUGAAGACAUCUGUAUUCACCAGGAAAACAAAUAAAACAAUAGUGAUGAAGUUAGGCAGGUUUAGUCACUACAGUUAGUGUAUUUUAUCCCGUAAGGAUGUCUGAGAGCUUUGCACUAAGGGAGCUGAGGGGAAAUAUUUCUGAGAGAAGUGUAUAAAUGGAAAAACUUCCCCUGUGGGAAUUGGUCAUAUAUGCUCCAGCCAUAAGGCAAGAGAAGGCCCUAAAAUAGAGGGUAGGAAUCCUGACAGCUAGUUCUCUGCACAGCUCAGCAGGCAGCAAGUGAGUACAGAAAUACCCCUGAACAUGCCAGUCAUGCUUAAAAAAUACAUGCUGUUACUCUGUAAAAGGUCUUCUGUAACAUUUCUAAGCUAACGGUGAAGAGCAAUUUAGCUUUUACAAUUAAGAACUAUGGGAUGAUACAUUGGAAAAAUAAAGCUUUAAAUUCUUCUAACACUUGAA